GACGAACGCUGGCGGCGUGCUUAACACAUGCAAGUCGAACGGGCCCGCUCUCUUUUUUGGGGGUGGGUUGAGUGGCGAACGGGUGAGUAUCACGUGAGUAACCUGCCCCCUGCUCCUGGAUAACUGCUUGAAAGGGCGGCUAAUACGGGGUGUGCCGGCUGGUCCGCAUGGGCCUGGUCGGGAUAGUUUCAUCUUCGGGUGUUUCGGUGGGGGAUGGGCUCGCGGCCUAUCAGCUUGUUGGGGGGGUGAUGGCCCACCCAGGCGGUGACGGGGAGCCGGCCUGAGGGGGUGGGCGGCCACACUGGGACUGAGACACGGCCCAGACUCCUGCGGGAGGCAGCAGUGGGGGGUAUUGCACAAUGGGCGGAAGCCUGAUGCAGCGACGUCGCGUGAGGGAUGGAGGCCUUCGGGUUGUGAACCUCUUUCUCCGGUGGUGAAGGCCCUGUCCGUUGCGGCGGGGUUGACGGUAGCCGGGUAUGAAGCGCCGGCUAACUACGUG
rnacentral:rRNA from 1 species